AUUGAACGCUGGCGGCAUGCUUUACACAUGCAAGUCGAACGGUAACAGGCCUUCGGGUGCUGACGAGUGGCGCACGGGUGAGUAAUGCAUCGGAACGUACCCAGAGGUGGGGGAUAACGCAGCGAAAGCUGUGCUAAUACUGCAUGUGAUCUGAGGAUGAAAGCGGGGGACCGAGCAGCAAUGUUUGGCCUCGCGCCUUUGGAGCGGCCGAUGUCGGAUUAGCUAGUUGGUGGGGUAAAGGCCUACCAAGGCGACGAUCCGUAGCUGGUCUGAGAGGACGACCAGCCACACUGGGACUGAGACACGGCCCAGACUCCUACGGGAGGCAGCAGUGGGGAAUUUUGGACAAUGGGCGCAAGCCUGAUCCAGCAAUGCCGCGUGCGGGAAGAAGGCGUUCGGGUUGUAAACCGCUUUUGGCAGGAACGAAACGGUGUCCGCUAAUACCGGGCGCUAAUGACGGUACCUGCAGAAUAAGCACCGGCUAACUACGUG
rnacentral:rRNA from 1 species